GAUGAACGCUAGCUACAGGCUUAACACAUGCAAGUCGAGGGGAAACGGCAUUAAGUGCUUGCACUUUUUGGACGUCGACCGGCGCACGGGUGAGUAACGCGUAUCCAACCUUCCCAUGACUAAGGGAUAACCUGCCGAAAGGCAGACUAAUACCUUAUGGUCUUCACUGACGGCAUCAGAUGUGAAGUAAAGAUUUAUCGGUUAUGGAUGGGGAUGCGUCUGAUUAGCUUGUUGGCGGGGUAACGGCCCACCAAGGCAACGAUCAGUAGGGGUUCUGAGAGGAAGGUCCCCCACAUUGGAACUGAGACACGGUCCAAACUCCUACGGGAGGCAGCAGUGAGGAAUAGUGGUCAAUGGGCGAGAGCCUGAACCAGCCAAGUAGCGUGCAGGAUGACGGCCCUAUGGGUUGUAAACUGCUUUUGUAUGGGGAUAAAGUCAAUCACGUGUGAUUGUUUGCAGGUACCAUACGAAUAAGGACCGGCGAAUUCCGU
rnacentral:rRNA from 1 species